rnacentral:lncRNA from 12 species
CCCCCGCCACCCGGCCCCCCCGCCGCCCCGCGACCCCGACCCGGGCGAGGCCGAGCUCCCGCCGCCCGGGCACCGAGGGCAGGGGCGGGGCGGGCGGGCGGGGCUCCAGGGACACACUGACGUCGCAGCCCCAGACUUGCGUCAGCGCCACCGGAGCCUCCCACUGGACCCCUCGCCGCCGGUGACGCUCCUACCUGCCACCCUGGGGCCGCCCUGGGCGCCGGGAGUCCGGCCUCUGGGUCCCCGUGGCGAGUCCCCACGGCCCAAGACCCCAGCACGGCGAGCACCCGACGGAGCCGGCCGCGGUGGCUUCUCAGCAGCCCAGGAGGGCCCGACAGCUUCCUGUGUGCCACCGAAGCUGCUGUGUGCCCCCCACUCCGCGCUCACAGAGCCCCAGCAGAUGGCAGGGACCGGCCUUGCUUUUACGUGCGUGUGGACAUCCUCCCGAGAUAACCGGCGGGUGGCCUGUGGUCGGAUAGCCACAGAAGGAUGGGUCACUUCCCUCCUCUCCUGGAGCAAGGAACCCCUGGCCAGACCUCAGGCCUCCUGAGGGGCCCACCCCAAACACCGAGGAACAGCGGCUUUAGCGACGUGGCAGGAAGCUCGGGGCUCAAGUUUCGGGACCCCAGAAAUCUGCUAAUCAGCCUGAGCGCGGAGGAGUGGGAAGGGCCGUCCAGGAGGGCUUCCCGCAGGAGGAACCCCGCCGAGGUGGAGCGGGAGCGAACGCUCAGGGCCGGGGUAGGUGCCUGGACCACGCGGUUCUGGGGCUUCCUGGGCUCCAGAACGACCCUGAGCCCACACCGGCCAGCAGACCCGGGCGGCCUCCGCAGGCCCCGAGGA